ensembl:misc_RNA 7SK 7SK RNA
GGAUGUGAGGGCGAUCUGGCUGCGACAUCUGUCACCCCAUUGAUCGCCAGGGUUGAUUCGGCUGAUCUGGCUGGCUAGGCGGGUGUCCCCCUCUUCCCUCACCGAUCCAUGUGUGUCCCUCCCGAAGCUGCGCGCUCGGUCGAAGAGGGCACUUUGGGGCUCUGAGGUGGGACAGAGAGAGGUGUAUGGUAAGAGAGGACCCCACCCCAACUCCAAAAGCAGUCACCUCCUCUGCUGUCCCAGA